GUUUUGUAUUGGAAUGAUAGAAAUUUAAACACUUUUUAAAGUAUCAAUUGGAGGGCAAGUCUGGUGCCAGCAGCCGCGGUAAUUCCAGCUCCAAUAGCGUAUAUUAAAAUUGUUGCAGUUAAAAAGCUCGUAGUUGAAUUUCUGCUAAAAAUAACCGGUCUGCUUUAAAUAAAAGUGGUAUCUUGGUGUGUUUUUAGCAAUAAUGUCCUUUGAAAUGUUUUUUACUUCAUUGUAAUAGAUUAUAUUAAGGAUUUUUACUUUGAGAAAAUUAGAGUGUUUCUAGCAGGCUAACGCUUUGAAUACUGCAGCAUGGAAUAAUAAAAUAGGAUUUUGGUUCUACAUUAUUGGUUUUAAGAGCUAAAUUAAUGAUUGAUAGGGACAGUUGGGGGCAUUUGUAUUUAACUGUCAGAGGUGAAAUUCUUAGA
rnacentral:rRNA from 1 species